GAGUUUGAUCCUGGCUCAGAUUGAACGCUGGCGGUAUGCUUAAGACAUGCAAGUCGUGCGGUAGAAGGCUUCGGCCUUUGAGAGCGGCGGACGGGUGAGUAACACGUGGGAAUCUACCUAUUAGUGGGGGACAGCCCAGCGAAAGCUGGAUUAAUACCGCAUACGCCCUACGGGGGAAAGCAGCAAUGCGCUAAUAGAUGAGCCCGCGUAAGAUUAGCUAGUUGGUAAGGUAAAGGCUUACCAAGGCGACGAUCUUUAGCUGGUCUGAGAGGAUGGCCAGCCACAUCGGGACUGAGACACGGCCCGGACUCCUACGGGAGGCAGCAGUCGGGAAUAUUGGACAAUGGGCGCAAGCCUGAUCCAGCAAUACCGCGUGUGUGAAGAAGGCCUGCGGGUUGUAAAGCACUUUCAGUUGGGAAGAUAAUGACGUUACCAACAGAAGAAGCACCGGCUAACUCCGUGCCAGCAGCCGCGGUAAUACGGAGGGUGCAAGCGUUAAUCGGAAUUACUGGGCGUAAAGCGUGCGUAGGCGGCCUGUUAAGUCAGAUGUGAAAGCCCCGGGCUUAACCUGGGAACUGCAUCUGAUACUGGGAGGCUAGAAUGUGGGAGAGGAGAGUGGAAUUUCCGGUGUAGCGGUGAAAUGCAUAGAGAUCGGAAGGAACACCAGUGGCGAAGGCGGCUCUCUGGACCAACAUUGACGCUGAGGCACGAAAGCGUGGGUAGCAAACAGGAUUAGAUACCCUGGUAGGCCACGCCGUAAACGAUGUCAACUUGCCGCCGGCCUCACUCUAGAG
rnacentral:rRNA from 1 species